CACGAACGCUGGCGGCAGGCUUAACACAUGCAAGUCGAGCGCCCCGCAAGGGGAGCGGCAGACGGGUGAGUAACGCGUGGGAAUCUACCCAUCUCUACAGAAUAACGCAUGGAAACGUGUGCUAAUACCGUAUACGUCCUUCGGGAGAAAGAUUUAUCGGAGAUGGAUGAGCCCGCGUUGGAUUAGCUAGUUGGUGGGGUAAAGGCCUACCAAGGCGACGAUCCAUAGCUGGUCUGAUAGGAUGAUCAGCCACACUGGGACUGAGACACGGCCCAGACUCCUACGGGAGGCAGCAGUGGGGAAUAUUGGACAAUGGGCGCAAGCCUGAUCCAGCCAUGCCGCGUGAGUGAUGAAGGCCCUAGGUUUGUAAAGCUCUUUCACCGGUGAAGAUAAUGACGGUAACCGGAGAAGAAGCCCCGGCUAACUUCGUGCCAGCAGCCGCCGUAAUAC
rnacentral:rRNA from 1 species